rnacentral:rRNA from 1 species
GAUGAACGCUGACAGAAUGCUUAACACAUGCAAGUCGAUGGGGAAGUGGUGCUUGCACCAUGGCAACCAUGGCGGACGGGUGAGUAACGCGUAAGGGACUUACCUGCAGGACUGGGAUAACAGGGGGAAACUCCUGACAAGACCGGAUAAUGUCAUGGAGCUGCAUGGCUUUAUGAUGAAAGGAGACGCCUGCGGAGAGCCUUGCGUCCUAUUAGCUAGUUGGUGAGGUAAUGGCUCACCAAGGCGAAGAUAGGUAGCCGGCCUGAGAGGGUGGACGGCCACAAGGGGACUGAGAUACGGCCCUUACUCCUACGGGAGGCAGCAGUGGGGAAUAUUGGACAAUGGGGGCAACGCUGAUCCAGCAAUUCUGUGUGCACGAAGAAGGUUUUCGGAUUGUAAAGUGCUUUCAGCAGGGAAGAAGUAAGUGACGGUACCUGCAGAAGAAGCGACGGCUAAAUACGUG